GACGAACGCUGGCGGCAGGCUUAACACAUGCAAGUCGAACGCCCCGCAAGGGGAGUGGCAGACGGGUGAGUAACGCGUGGGAACGUACCUUUCAGUUCGGAAUAACUCAGGGAAACUUGUGCUAAUACCGGAUACGCCCGUAAGGGGAAAGAUUUAUCGCUGAAAGAUCGGCCCGCGUUGGAUUAGCUAGUUGGUGGGGUAAUGGCCUACCAAGGCGACGAUCCAUAGCUGGUCUGAGAGGAUGAUCAGCCACACUGGGACUGGGACACGGCCCAGACUCCUACGGGAGGCAGCAGUGGGGAAUAUUGGACAAUGGGCGAAAGCCUGAUCCAGCCAUGCCGCGUGAGUGAUGAAGGCCCUAGGGUUGUAAAGCUCUUUCACCGAUGAAGAUAACGACGGUAGUCGGAGAAGAAGCCCCGGCUAACUUCGUGCCAGCCGCCGCAGUAA
rnacentral:rRNA from 1 species